ACACAUGGCAAUUUAUUUAGGCUAUAAAUGACACAUGUCAUUAGUAUGGUUCUGUUCCCAUUCCCAAUCAUCAAUCCAUUCUAAGAAAAUGCGGAUCCGAUUUACCAAUUUCGGGUCAAAUAGGCGUUGGUAUAAAAGCCUUAUAACCCGGACAACAAUCACUUUUCAUAUCACAAACUAGGGUUUCACAAAAUUUGCUCUGGGCGUUCUUCUCUGCCGACCAUCAAACCUCUUCAAAUUAAUUCUCAAAUCAAGGGUUUCUCCAUCAUCGAUCAUUCAUCUGUCUUGAUAAUCAAAUGUUUCAUUACCAUGGUUCAUAUCGCAAUUCGCAAGCAAGAAGAUGUUCAUUGUUCCAGAUUUGUUUAUGUAUUUCAUGAUGAUGAUGAAGGUUGAUGAUUUGAUUUGUAUUCUGUUGCCUCUGGCAAGCUGAAACAGGCUGGUGAACUAAAGAGGGAGGAUUUGAAAGGCUGGUGACAAGAUAAGGUUACAUGCCACCCGAGUCACUCAGACUUUUACCGGCAGUUACUCACUACGCUCAGGUUACACUGUCGGCGGUUUGGCUGGCGAUUCCUGGCAAGUAGGGGUUUCGGUGUGGGUUUGCGGAUGAAAAGUGAA